UGUUUCCCUUUCCAAAUUCUUUAACUUUUUGGGUUGUUUCCGUCUGAUCUGAAUUUUUGCCUUUGGAUAUUGCUGUUAGAGAGCGAUGCUUGAAAACGGUAGAGCUCUUUAUAGCGAGAUCUAUGGACUAUGCUUAUUUGGUGGGUAUGAUACAUAUAUGAGUGGAAGACGUUAAUUGACAAUAUCUAGCUUCUUGCCGAUGUUCAUCUUACUCCUAGAUAAUUUGUGGCACAGUAUUUGGUCAGAUGUUGUAUCAGUUACCAUGUUAGUGAAGUUCUUACUUUAGUUUUUUUCAUUGAUUUAUUUAUCAUUCUGUUCCUAGUAUUUGAUGCAUAAUUCUAAGUUGCCCGUGGCUAUACGAUAGAGUUGUGCAGUAUGAGAUCCAUUUGAGGAAGAAACAUUAUGGCUUGUUUCCUGUUCAUUAGAUAUAAGAAUCGCAGCAGAAUUGGUGCAAUUUCUGCUGUAGUGUUCUAAAGUUGCAUUUUUAGUUUAACUGAUGCUGCUUUCAUACUAUUUGAAUGUUGACAUUCAGGAGAGGGUCCUCUAUAGAGACUAAAGUUGCAUUCUUUGUGCGAAAGUACCUAUCAAUAAGAUCUUGACAGGUGAUCACUCUAUUAAUAAGAGGUUGAUACCCUGAAUUUGUGCACCAAUCCCUUUAGAUGAAGUAUUGCUGUGUUCUUGUCACUCAUUUCUCAUUUCCAUGGAAACUUUGGUGCUGGCUGUAAUCCUUCUCACUGUUUAUUGGGUACCUCCUGGGCUGGAAGCUAGUGUGGCUGUCUCUCAUUCAAAGGUGUUGUAUUCAUUAGAGGUUGAAUGGUAUCAACGUGGUUAUUUCAGCUUUUAGAUUGCUGUAUUUGGAAUUGAGGGACCUUUAGUUUUAUUCUUUUUCUCUUUUCUGUGACCUUAAGGCAUGGUCUUCUGAGGUGGUUGUUAAUAGCAUAUGGGGAAGUUAAUUUUCCCAGUGCUUUAAACAUAGAAGGACAAGUUGCACUAUUUCAACAUGUUGGUCACAUGUUUGAAACUUGGAAACAGCCUCUUCAUUCGUGCGGAUCCUCAGACUAACUGCAUUUCCAUAUAAGAUUAGAUCUAUGCUCUUUUUUAAGGAUCACUUUACAGCCUAUGAUAACUGGUUAUCCGAUAUGCGGCCAUACUACCAGUAUGGGCCAUCAGUCCAACUCUGUGGUCUAUAGGUACCUACUAUGGCUCUAAAAAUGUCAAAUGCUAUUAUUUUAUGCAUAUGCUAGAUACUUUGUUCACCCCCCCCCUCCCAAAAAAAAAAUUAGAAACAACACGUAAUAGUUUGAUAGUGGAUUAUAAGUAGCAUAUACAUUACCAGUUUAGUAUUAUCCUUAUUUUUCACCUUACAACUUUUUUCAGUUUCAUCUUGAUGCAUGGAACAAUGAAAUUAAUUCAAAACAUAACAAAUGCCAUAACUUAUGCUAUUAGUGCAUUGGAAAAGACACUAAUAUAUGUAUCAGUCCUUUAGAUUUCACCAGGGGGGAAGGCCUGAAUAUGAUUUGUUUAUCUGCAUUUGUGCCCUUGAUUUUUGAGAAUGGGAAAUGUCAUCACUGUUCCCCACAUCUGUCUGUAUCAUAUUCUGUAUAUAGGCAUCAUAGCUUUGUUUGUUCUUGAUAUGAAUUUAAGAGCUGCAUUCCAUGCCCAUUUUGAAAGGUUGGUUUCUUUCCAGCAUUUCCCUCUCUCUUUUUUCUUUUUGAGGGUGGGGGGUCCCUAUUAUAUAGGAUUCCGAUUAUAACAUGGCUAAACAGAAAAAGUAAAGAGGAAAUAAAAAAUAAAAAUGUAUAAAAUGAAGAACAAACUUGGCUUGGAAUAUACAUGUACAUUAAGUGGGAAUUGUCCUUUCUUUCCUUAGAGUAAUACAAAUGACUUAUUGAUGCAUGAGUGUAAGCUAAUAAAUGACGAGCCUCUUUCUUUCCCCCUGCUCCUUCCUAUCUAGCUUUGGGCUGCAUUGGGGUUGAGCUUGCCUACAAUGGUUGAUAACUUUGGCUUCCAUUAGCCCAUUCACUGCAGAGGCCAGCUUUGCAAUACUUCUCUUUCUCCCUGUUUGGAUGUAGAUGCUCCUACUAGUAAGAAUAUCUUAACAAGAUACAUAUGGUAUUUGAUUUAUUUUUUCAAGUCUA